rnacentral:lncRNA from 1 species
GGUUCCCCUCCUCCAAGGUAACCGGAGUGCGAGGGAACAAAUCACCAGCGCACGGGAGACGGCGGGGCAGGUAGCUGCUGAAGAGGAGCACUUGAGAAGAACAGAGUAAAUCUCCAUACCAGGUACUCCAGAAGAAACUGGUUUAAAGGGACUAACAGAAUUGAAAUGACAGCCUGUCCUGGUGGAGCUGCUAUGUCCUUCGAGCACUGCAGUGUUCUUAUUCUGAUUCUGCUGGGUCAGUGCCUGCUCCAAUCAUAAGCCCAAGAAUGUAGCCUUCUGCAUCAUAAAUUUCUGAAUAUGCUGCUGGUAAGAAAACAACUCUGUUCAGUGCUUUUGGCUGGACUUAAAGGAUACAUCUACUGAGUGUAGCUGUUCCAAGGCCAUCCUGGAACUUCCCAACAGCAUCAUAGUGUGUGUCCUCUUCUGCCAACUYAGUCAGCCUGCAAGUUUCUUCAUCAGGAAAGUGAUUUCAGGGCUGUAAUUGCUCUGAUGUUACAGGAUGCACUUUCCCGUCAUGACGGCAUACAAGAGCACUGCUUUCCUUUCAACAUCAUCCUAACUGGAAGAGAACAGCUCUCUACCAAAAGCUGUCAUCUGCACAACAGUGUCUGCAGAAAGGGACCCUUUGCUUCAGCCACCUCCAUGCAAAACCUGUCUUCGUAG